UGAACACUUGCUCACCAUAUGUUUUGGGUGU
rnacentral:piRNA from 1 species